rnacentral:rRNA from 1 species
AGAGUUUGGUAUCCUGGCGUCAGGAGUGAAACGACUGGCGGCGAUAGCUUAACUACAUAGCAAGUCGAACGGGAAGUAGGUGGUUUCCUACGUGGCGAACGGGUAGAGUAACGCGUAAGAACCUGCCUCGGAGGGGAACGAACAAACUGAAACGGUUAGCUAAUACCCGUACGGCUGAGGAGCAAAGGAAGAAAUACCGCCCAAGGAGGGGCUCGCGUCUGAUUAGCUAGUUGGUGAGGCAAUAGCUUACCAAGGCGAUGAUCAGUAGCUGGUCCGAGAGGAUGAUCAGCCACACUGGGACUGAGACACGGCCCAGACUCCUACGGGGGGCAGCAGUGGGGAAUUUUCCGCAAUGGGCGAAAGCCUGACGGAGCAAUGCCGCGUGGAGGUGGAAGGCCUACGGGUCGUCAACUUCUUUUCUCGGAGAAGAAACAAUGACGGCAUCUGAGGAAUAAGCAUCGGCUAACUCUGUG